rnacentral:ncRNA from 1 species
ACCUUAUCCAGAGAAGGUGGAGGGACUGGCCCGAUGAUACCCGGCAACCGACAUGACGCUUUUCAGACGCUCGAGACGACUGAAGCAAAGGCGACGUGCACGGUGCUAAUUCCUGCAGAAACAAAAGUAGUCUGGAAGAUAAGGG